CCGCAUGUGCAGCAGCUGCACCACAAGCUAAACAUGGAAACUGAAAUGAACAAGAAGCUCAGGGAUGAGGUCGUCGCUGUGCGAGCAGAGAAACAGGAGGUGAUGAAGUCUCUGCAGCACACUCAGCAGCUGUUGUUGAGCCAGACGCA